AUGGCUCAGCAGGAGGAACAGACAGAAUGGGUGUGCCUAACGCUGCUGCUGCCUGUGAAGGGAGAUUCCAAGUCCAGCUUGGAGGUGGCAGGCGUGACAGCUCUAGCCUGUGGAAUGAUAGCAGUGGGAUCCUGCCACAGAAAUGUCACUUCUACUAUCCUUCAGACCAUCGUGGAAAAGUCAGAGACUGAGCUCAAGGACACUUAUGCUCGUUGGCUUCCUCUUGCACUGGGACUCAACCACCUGGAGAAGGGUGAGGCCAUUGAGGCAAUCCUGGCUGCACUGGAGGUUGUGUCAGAACCAUUCCACAGUUUUGCCAACGUGCUGGUGGAUGUGUGUGCCUCUGCAGGCUCCGGGGAGGUACUGAAAGUGCAGCAGUUACUCACAUUUGUAGUGAUCAUUUUGACUCCAAGGAAAAAGAAGAAGACAAAGAUAAGGAAAAGAAGGACAAGGACAAAAAGGAAGCCCCUGCUGACAAGGGAGCACAUCAGGGAGUGGCUGUUCUGGGGACUGCCCUUAUCGCUCUGGGAGAGGAGAUUGGUGCAGAGAUGGCACUAGGAACCUUUGGCCAUUUGCUGAGAUAUGGGGAGCCUACAUUCCAGAGGGCUGGACCUUCAGCCCUGGCACUAAUCUCUGUUUCAAAUCCAUGACUUAACAUCCUGGAUACCCUAAGUAAGUUCUCUCAUGAUGCUGAUCCAGAAGUUUCCUAUAAUUCCAUCUUUGCUAUGGGCAUGGUGGGCAGUGGUACCAAUAAUGCCCAUCUGGCUGCAAUGCUGCACCAGUUAGCUCAAUAUCAUGCUCAGGACCCCAACAAUCUGUUCGUGGUGUGCUUGGCACAGGGUCUGACACAUUUAGGGAAGGGCACACUUACCCUCUGUCCCUACCACAGUGACUGGCAGCUUAUGAGUUAGGUGGCGGUGGCUGGGCUGCUAACUGUGCUUGUCUCCUUCUUGGAUGUUUGAAAUAUCAUUCUAGGCAAAUCACGCUAUGUAUUGUAGGGGCUGGUUGCUGCCAUCAACCCCGAAUGUUGGUCACAUUUGAUGAAGAGCUGCGGCCACUGCUGGUGUCUAUCUGUGUGGGCCAGGCGGUGGAUCUGGUGGGCCAGGCAGGCAAGCGGAAGACUAACACAGGAUUCCAGACACGUAAACCCCAGUGUCAUUGGCCCAUGGGGAACGGGCAGAAUUGGCCACUGAGGAGUUUCUUCCUGUUACCCCCAUUCUGGAAGGUUUUUGUCAUCCUUUGGAAGAACCCCAACUAUGAUCUCUAUGUGGCCCUCCAGGGCCCUGAGCUAUAG